GGGCGUAUGGUGUAGUGGUAUCACGCCUGCUUUGGGUGCAGGAGGUCUCGGGUUCGAACCCCGAUUCGCCCC
rfam:Allomyces macrogynus ATCC 38327 genomic scaffold supercont3.6, whole genome shotgun sequence.